AGCGUCAGUCGUAAAAAUAUUUAAAAAAAUAUACAAUGUGUGCGAUCGUGAAAUGAAUAUGGGAGAGGCACUUGAUUAUAUUUAGAAAAAAAAAAUUCAAUUCGCAAAGUUUACGAUAUAUGUCUUAUAUUUACCGCACAACUAUUGUAAUCGUAUAUCUAUUGUCACGUGAUUAAAGGUCGGCAAAUCAUUGACUGAGAUUGAGUAUUAAAAACUUCGCUUUAUCGCAAGUGAUUACCUCUUUAUUUUAAAAGUCUUAAUUCUAACAGCAACUGGCGUAGAAUGAGACUGUCGUUCUUUUCAUUCUUAUUCUAAUAUAUAAUCAAAUGGCAAAUGUGAACAAUGGGACGUGCAACGUAAAUCUUAAUUUAGAGAAAAACAGCUGAUUUGAAGUAUAGAGGAGAUAUUUAGAAUAGAGAUUCUUAGAACACAGAAAAUCGUCGAUCAUGCAACAACGUGCUUGCGGCCUCGUCAUUUUCCGCCGAUAUCAAGACACCAUCCAGUUUCUCUUGAUGCAGACAUCAUAUGGGCAACAUCACUGGACACCGCCUAAAGGUCACGUCGAUCCGGGUGAAUCCGACAUGGAGACAGCGUUGCGCGAAACCCAGGAAGAGGCUGGCUUCACGUCGAGCGAUCUCAGGAUCUUCGAGGACGCGAGGCACGAGAUGACAUAUCAAGUAAAAGGAAUGUCGAAUGAGCAUCAGGCAUUCGAGUGGCUUUCGUUGCGCGAGGCUUGCGAUCUCGCGAAAUAUGCCGAGAUGCAGAAAGCGCUGAAUGAAUUUGACAAGUAUAUAUCCCAGAAUCUUGCGUAGGUUUCGUAUACGUAUUUAUACACAUUUCUCUAUAAUAUACAGAAAGAGAAUUAUAUAUCCCGAUUUAUGUAUAUUUAUAUAUAUUUAUAUAUAUUUAUAUUUUCUCCUUUUCUCUGAUUAUAUUUCUCUUUACAUUCGCAAAUUCCUAAGUACAUUGAUGAAAACAAGCCUUUAAGGUUGACAUCGCUUUAAAAGAGUAGCGAAGAAAACACUCGCCAGUGUCUAAAAUCUUUCCUCUGCUAAAGUUGAUUUUUGAUAAGUUUUAAGUAAUAAUCGCUUGUUAAUCAUAAUGAUUAAUCCUUUACAAAGCCUACAAUCUUUUUUAAAGUAUUGGUAUUUCCGGUAUAUGCUUGUCACCGAAUUAUACAUGGUGGAAGGAUGGGAGAGAAAUUUUAUCAAUAUUUUUUGUCUAGCAUUAUUCUCUCUCUUCUUCAUCUUCAACUACAAAAUACUGCUACCAAUCACACAAUAUAUGCUAGAAAGUUAAUUGAAUGUUAUAUUUUUCUGCAACGCCUAUAUAAAAGAUAUAUUGCUUUCAACAUUCCAUAUAUUUUUGAAGCAAGUCUGCAAUGGUGAGAAUAUACUAAAAAUAGAAGCCUUGAAAGAAUUAACUGUGGUAUUAAAUUUAAAACGAGAUUUAGAUAUAAAAAUACAGCAAGAAUUUAUUUUGUUAAAAUAAAGGAUUAUAUGUAUAUAUAUCAAAAUCUUCGAAAUAAGUUAUCAACAAACUUAUAAUUAAAAAAUACUUCCUUAUUUCUAUUUAUUAUGUUAAUAUAGUAUAGAUUAUAAAUCUAUUAAAACACAUUUUUGUCAAUAUCAUUAUCUUUGGCAAAUUAAUAAAUUUGUCCCAUAGAAUUUUUUCUUUUUAUGAUGUGUAAUUCAAGAUAUCCUAUUUAAAGAAACGAUACACAAGCUAUGUAAAAUAUUAACAUGUUUUUCACAAGCACGACUCUUCCUUAAAUGCAAUAUAAUCGUUGUAUUAGGUAUUGAAACAUUAGUAAAAUGUGUACACAUUAUAAAUAUUAAAUUUUUAUUAAU